rnacentral:rRNA from 1 species
CCUACGGGAGGCAGCAGUGGGGAAUAUUGGACAAUGGGGGAAACCCUGAUCCAGCCAUGCCGCGUGAGUGAAGAAGGCCUUAGGGUUGUAAAACUCUUUCAGCGGGGAAGAUGAUGACGGUACCCGCAGAAGAAGCCCCGGCUAACUCCGUGCCAGCAGCCGCGGUAAUACKGAGGGGGCUAGCGUUGUUCGGAAUUACUGGGCGUAAAGCGCACGUAGGCGGUCCGCGUAGUCAGGCGUGAAAGCCCCGGGCUCAACCUGGGAAYUGCGCUUGAUACUGGCGGGCUGGAGUACGGGAGAGGGUAGUGGAAUUCCCAGUGUAGAGGUGAAAUUCGUAGAUAUUGGGAAGAACACCAGUGGCGAAGGCGGCUACCUGGACCGGUACUGACGCUGAGGUGCGAAAGCGUGGGGAGCGAACAGGAUUAGAUACCCUGGUAGUCCACGCCGUAAACGAUGAGUGCUAGAUAUCGGGGAACCUAGUUCUUCGGUCUCGCAGCUAACGCAUUAAGCACUCCGCCUGGGGAGUACGGCCGCAAGGUUAAAACUCAAAGGAAUUGACGG